CCUACGGGAGGCUGCAGUGAGGAAUAUUGGUCAAUGGGCGAGAGCCUGAACCAGCCAUGCCGCGUGCAGGAAGACGGCCCUACGGGUUGUAAACUGCUUUUGUUUGGGAAGAAAAGGCGCUACGUGUAGUGCACUGACGGUACCAGAUGAAUAAGCAUCGGCUAACUCCGUGCCAGCAGCCGCGGUAAUACGGAGGAUGCGGGCGUUAUCCGGAUUAAUUAGUGUUAAGGGGUAUGGAGGCGUAAGUGGAGAAAUCCCCCAGCUUAACUGGGGAACUGCCAUAGAUACUGGUGUUCUUGAGUACAGUUGAAGUAGGCGGAAUGUGUAAUGUAGCGGUGAAAUGCUUAGAUAUUACACAGAACACCGAUUGCGAAGGCAGCUUGCUAAGCUGUUACUGACGCUGAUGCACGAAAGCGUGGGGAGCGAACAGGAUUAGAUACCCUUGUAGUC
rnacentral:rRNA from 1 species